AGUCUUAUAUUUAAAGAAAAAGUAACAAGCCUUAAAUUUAAAGAAAAACCUACAGGCCUGGAGACAAGAAGCUGUAAGUAUCUUCUCUUGUCCAUGGUGAAACUAAUUCAUGCAGAUCCAGAGCUCUUGCUUUGUAGCUCACAAGUGUAUUUUUACAUCUGCAAGAAAUUAACUAGUCAUUAAAUGCUUAGUAGCACAGAAAUUCUCAAGUGGUUGCAGGAAAUUUUGAUCUGCAGGAAUAAAUUUCGCCUCUCUCCAGAAGGGAAAAGGGAACUCCUCUAUGGUCAGCUCAGGAUGCAGCGGAACCCCCCUGACUUGCUGACAAGCGCAGACCAAACUAGAAGUGGCCCUGUACAUGUUUCUGCGGAACCCUGACACUGAAGCUGUUCUGGUUGCCAUGUCCUGUUUCCGCCACCUCUGUGAGGAAGCAGAUACCCGGUGUGGGGUGGACGAAGUGUCAUUGCGUAACCUCUUGCCCAACUCUAACACAUUCAUGGAGUUUGCCAGCACUUCAGAAAGAGUGAUGGCACUGCUGAGGCGCACUGAGCAUCCCACUGCAGGAAACACUGAGGGAAGAUACACAUGCAAAAUGGGAACAAGCAACAAAACUAAUCCUUAGCUAUCCAAAAGCCCAAAUGGAAGAUGGCCAGGAAAGCUUCACAAGACCAUUGUUAAGAGGCGAAUGUCCCAUGUGAGUGGAGGAGGACCCAUAGAUUUGUCUGACACAGACUCCCUACAGGCAUGGAUCAACAUGACUGGCUUCCUUUGUGCCCUUGGGGGAGUGUGCCUCCAGCAGAGAAGGAAUUCUGGCCUGGCAACCUAUAGCCCACCCGUGGGUCCGGUCAGUGAACAUAAGGGUUCCAUGAUUUCAGUGAUGUCCUCAGAGGGAAACGCAGAUACAC
rnacentral:lncRNA from 1 species